rnacentral:rRNA from 1 species
UACACAUGCAAGUCGAGCGGUAAGGCCCUUCGGGGUACACGAGCGGCGAACGGGUGAGUAACACGUGAGCAACCUGCCCCUGACUCCGGGAUAAGCGGUGGAAACGCCGUCUAAUACCGGAUAUGACACACCAUCUCCUGGUGGUGUGUGGAAAGUUUUGUCGGUCAGGGAUGGGCUCGCGGCCUAUCAGCUAGUUGGUGGGGUAAAGGCCUACCAAGGCGAUUACGGGUAGCCGGCCUGAGAGGGCGACCGGCCACACUGGGACUGAGACACGGCCCAGACUCCUGCGGGAGGCAGCAGUGGGGAAUAUUGCACAAUGGGCGAAAGCCUGAUGCAGCGACGCCGCGUGGGGGAUGACGGCCUUCGGGUUGUAAACCUCUUUUACCACCAACGCAGGCCCCGGGUUCUCUCGGGGUUGACGGUAGGUGGGGAAUAAGGACCGGCUAACUACGUGCCAGCAGCG